rnacentral:rRNA from 1 species
UACGGGGGGAGCAAGCGUUGUUCGGAUUUACUGGGCGUAAAGGGCGCGUAGGCGGUCAGCACAAGUCAGUUGUGAAAUCUCCGGGCUUAACUCGGAAAGGUCAACUGAUACUGUGCGACUAGAGUGCAGAAGGGGCAACUGGAAUUCUCGGUGUAGCGGUGAAAUGCGUAGAUAUCGAGAGGAACACCUGCGGCGAAGGCGGGUUGCUGGGCUGACACUGACGCUGAGUGAGCGAAAGCCAGGGGAGCAAACGGG